AUUGAACGCUGGCGGCAGGCCUAACACAUGCAAGUCGAACGGUAGCACAGGAGAGCUUGCUCUUCGGGUGACGAGUGGCGGACGGGUGAGUAAUGCAUGGGAGCUGCCCAAUCGAGGGGGAUACCAGCUGGAAACGGCUGCUAAUACCGCAUACGCCCUGAGGGGGAAAGGUGGGACCUUCGGGCCUACCGCGAUUGGAUGCACCCAUGUGGGAUUAGCUAGUUGGUGAGGUAACGGCUCACCAAGGCGACGAUCUCUAGCUGGUCUGAGAGGAUGACCAGCCACACUGGAACUGAGACACGGUCCAGACUCCUACGGGAGGCAGCAGUGGGGAAUAUUGCACAAUGGGGGAAACCCUGAUGCAGCCAUGCCGCGUGUGUGAAGA
rnacentral:rRNA from 1 species